AAUUAAUAACAGCAAUUCGUAAUGUUGUUUUGCCUCUUGACAGCUGCAUUGAGGAGUGAGCACAGACCUGACGGUGGUACCAGACCCUCAAGGAGCGCCUACCCCAUGUCAACCACAAAUGCUGUGAAGAGGUGGAGCCCAAAUACUACCAACA